rnacentral:lncRNA from 1 species
CCUGUCUCCCUUCCUCCUCUGUUUCCAAGAUGUCAGUUACUGACAUACUCUGGCAGUGAUAUCACUGUUGCUCAAACAUGAGUGAAGAAUCUCUGAGCACGUGGCACUGUUGUGAGCCUGAGCAGCAGCGCUGAUGUGCCUGUUGCAGAGACACCAGGCAGCAGGGACAGCUGUAUGGCAGAGAGUACCUCCAUACAGCCAGGCCUUCAAGUCAGCCCAGGGGACCAAUGGCUGGGGAGGCUGCUCCUCCAGAAAAGUGUUGAUGGGCUCAAGAAGCAGUAAAUGCGUGUGGAGAAACAUUUUGGAAGUCUGGAAGACUUCUGGAUCAUUACUGCUUCUGACUUCCUCUCUCUGUCAGCAAAGAGUUAUCACAGGUCAGCUGCAGAGUGGAAAGUGUGGGGCAACAGGGAAGCAAGCUAACACUAUCUCCUGA